rnacentral:rRNA from 1 species
AGUGAACGCUGGCGGUAGGCCUAACACAUGCAAGUCGAACGGCAGCACAGUAAGAGCUUGCUCUUACGGGUGGCGAGUGGCGGAAGGGUGAGGAAUACAUCGGAAUCUACUUUUUCGUGGGGGCUAACGUAGGGAAACUUACGCUAAUACCGCAUACGACCUACGGGUGAAAGCAGGGGAUCUUCGGACCUUGUGCGAUUGAAUGAGCCGAUGUCGGAUUAGCUAGUUGGCGGGGUAAAGGCCCACCAAGGCGACGAUCCGUAGCUGGUCUGAGAGGAUGAUCAGCCAGACUGGAACUGAGACACGGUCCAGACUCCUACGGUAGGCAGCAGUGGGGAAUAUUGGACAAUGGGCGCAAGCCUGAUCCAGCCAUACCGCGGAGGUGAAGAAGGCCUUCGGGUUGGAAAGCCCUUUUGUUGGGAAAGAAAAGCAGCAGGUUAAUACCCCGCUGUUCUGACGGUACCCAAAGAAUAAGCACCGGCUAACUUCGUG